UUAGUUUUAGCAACGGCAGACAUUAUUGAGAAUCCUGUGCCAAUGCAUGGAUAUUUGCUGGCUGAGGAACCUAUGUCAAUUGUUUUUCCUACAACAAUAUCUGAAGCACUUUGUUCAAAGCUAAGGCAAUGUUUGUUAAUCUUUUUAUUACUUCCCUCUUGACCAGGUUGAAGAACAAAGUGAGUUUCCUGGUGAAACCAAUCCCCUUGAUCUCGUUCGACAAAAUCGAUUUAUGUGUUUGGUUCCAGAAGUAGUCGAUAACACGCCAACAACUAUAAAGCAUACUGAGCAUAUACAAAAACACGUAGAUGGUGUGGAAGCUGUGGAGUCCCUUUCAUCGACCACCGAAACAAGACCCACAACAGUAAUUUCUGUGUGUGACGAACGCUCGCUGCUCUACUGGUCUUCAUUCGUUAGACUACCUUCCAUUUCUUGGGGGUGGUCUUUCAACCAAGGACUUGAAACUGUUUUUUGCACUGGCUACGGUAAAUCUGAAAAAUUAGCCACAGUCAUCGUGAAAACCAUUGCUGUCCGUUUAUCGGGAGAGCUGUUCUACCUAUUCAAUGGGAUUAGUAUAUCACAUUGCGAAUUACCGCCGAAAUUUUCAACGUUUGAAAGGCUUUCCACCAUUAUACAGUUCUUCGACAAACUGAAGCCAUGCGAGGGUAUCACUAUCCCAUGAGCAAAGCUAACAAAAUAUUCAGAUGACUUCGUUGGUGUGAAAGACAAAAACAGAAAUUGGCGUUCUAAAAGUUGUGCAUAUGUCUUUGACACAAUAUAUGUCGCUACAUCAUGCACGCGUUGCCGGGCACUGAAGAGAUAUUUUCUGCAGAAGAUAGGAACGUUGCAAUUAAAAAAGAAAAAAGAAACAAUGAACGAGAAAUGUCGAAAAUUGCGAAGCAAGCUGAACACAAUGGAAAAGAAACUUGAGAAAAGCAACCUAAAUGUGAAAAAUUUACGCAGUGACUGAAAGAAACUUUUGAAGAAAAAGAAAAGUGCUUUUCAGAACCAGAUGGGACAUCUUUCAGAAAUGGUGAAUGGUGGUAGUUUUAUUAUUUUCAAGUAGCUAGUAGCUCAUUAAAUGUUUCUUAUAUGACAUUUGGUGAUUUAUUUUACUACUUCUUAAUCAUUUCUUUCUUCAAUGACUAUUUUCUCCAAAUUUGAUUUGAAAGUUAUUAUUCGCGACUGACAAUUUUUUUUACAUUCUGUUUACAAACAAUUUAAUUGCGCAUUAUUUAGUCUCCUGUAAUUUUCAUUUCAUAUCGCAAUUUGUGUUUUGUUUGCUGACCAUAAUGUAACAAUUAUUAUGUUGUAUGUUUCCUUAUGUGUUAAGAAAAAAUGUAAACGUUAGCAUUCAAAAUCGAGAUUUGUUUGAGAUUAGUUUCAUUAGAACUUUUGUAUUAGAUUUUAUUACACAUAUUUUUUUUCA